rnacentral:misc_RNA from 1 species
CUAAAUCGGACCGGUAGCUGCUUCACGAUUUUGCGCUACUCCGGCGACCGUGGGAUUAUCUCCGGCGAACUUCUGUCGACUUACAACAUCGGCGAUCUGCAUUCACGGAGUGUCUGCUAGAUUCUAAGAACAAUUCAAUAUGGGGGCUUCUGAAGAGAACAGCGCACUUUUCCCCAUCUUUGUCUUGACUUUAAUGGCUUUGCCAUUAGUACCUUAUACUAUAGUCAAUUUAUUUGGUGCUUUCAAGAAAAAGGCUGCCAAAAUCAACUGCCAGUGUUCGGUCUGCGUUCGGUCGGGGAAGUAUCACAAAUCAAUAUUCAGGCGGAUUUCAAACUUCUCAACAUACAGUAAUCUGACCCUUGUACUUCUGUGGGUCGUCAUGGCUGUUCUAGUUUAUUACAUCAAGCAUAUCAGCACUGAGGUCCAAAUAUUCGAGCCAUUCAGUAUCCUUGGACUGGAACAUGGAGCUUCUGACUCUGAAAUAAAGAAGGCGUAUCGGAGACUUUCCAUUCAGUAUCAUCCCGAUAAAAAUCCAGAUCCAGAGGCACACUCAUACUUUGUUGAGUUCAUCUCAAAGGCUUAUCAGGCUCUAACGGAUCCGAUAUCUAGGGAAAAUUUUGAAAAAUAUGGCCAUCCCGAUGGACGGCAGGGGCUUCAAAUGGGCAUUGCCCUCCCGCAGUUCCUUCUCAACAUUGAUGGAGCAUCUGAAGGAAUACUGUUGCUUGGAAUUGUUGGAGUCUGUAUAAUUCUGCCCUUGACAGUUUCUGUUAUAUACUUGUCUAGGUCAUCAAAAUAUACUGGAAACUACGUCAUGCACUCGACAUUAGCAGCAUAUUACCACUUAAUGAAACCUUCUUUAGCCCCAAGCAAGGUCAUGGAUGUUUUCAUUAAGGCUUCUGAAUUCAUGGAUAUUCCUGUUCGUCGGUCUGACGAAGAACCUCUGCAGAGACUGUUUGUCCUGGUUAGAAGUGAGCUAAAUCUGGAUCUUAAGAAUAUUCGCCAAGAACAGGCUAAAUUUUGGAAGCAGCAUCCUGCUUUAGUAAAGACUGAAUUGUUGCUACAAACACAAUUGACACGUGAGACGGCAGCCUUGUCUCCAACUUUACAGCGUGAUUUCAGACGUGUGCUUGAACUUGCACCUCGGCUUCUGGAAGAAUUGAUGAAGAUGGCUAUUAUUCCACGUCCUCCAGUGGGGCAUGGAUGGCUAAGACCUGCAAUAGGAGUGGUGGAACUGUCUCAGAGUAUUGUUCAAGCAGUACCUCUCAGCGCAAGGAAAGCAGCAGGUGGAUCCAGUGAAGGGUAUGCACCAUUUUUGCAGCUGCCACACUUUAGCGAGGCUGUCGUUAAAAAGAUAGCAAGAAAGAAAGUUCGUACAUUUCAAGACUUCCGUGACAUGACACCGGAUGAACGUGCUGAUCUGCUGACUCAAGUUGCUGGGUUCUCCAAUGGUGAAUCCCACGAUGUGGAGAUGGUUCUUGAAAUGAUGCCUUCAGUGACAAUUGAUAUCACAUGUGAGACUGAAGGUGAGGAGGGAAUUCAAGAGGGUGACAUCGUUACCAUGCAUGCUUGGGUCACUCUUAACCGUGGUAGUGGCUUGAUACGCGCCCUUCCACAUUGUCCAUAUUUUCCUUUUGACAAAGAGGAGAAUUUCUGGCUGAUGCUUGCGGACUCCUUUUCGAAUGAUGUGUGGCUCUCUCAGAAGGUUAGUUUCAUGGAUGAAGCUACAUCGAUAAUUGCUGUAUCAAAAACAAUUCAGGAGUCAAAGGAAGGGUCUGGUGCAAGUGCAAGGGAAAUAAAUGUUGCUGUUAAAGAAGCAAUUGAGAAAGUGAAAAAUGGUUCAAGACUGGUAAUGGGGAAGUUCCAAGCUCCAGCUGAAGGGAACUACAACUUGAGCUCUUACUGCUUAUGUGACUCUUGGAUUGGUUGUGAUGCAAAGUCAAAUAUAAAGUUAAAGGUUAUGAAACGUAGCAGAGCUGGAACCAGAGGUGGUUUCGCAGCAGAUGAGACUCCUGCCAUGGAGGAUGGAAUUGAGGAGGACGAGGAAGAAGAAGAAGAGGAUUUCGAUGAUUAUGAAAGUGAAUACAGCGAAGAUGAAGAAGAUACCAAGGAAACAAAGAGUAAAGGAGCUGUGGCCAAUGGCUCUGCCCAUAACAAGGGCAACAGUUCAGGUUCUGAUGAAUCUGGUUCAGAAGCCGACUAACUUCCUUUCUUGGCUAGUUUUUGUUCUCCUAAUUUCCCCGUUGACAUGAUAUUCCAAUUCUCCGGGGAGAAGACAAGACGAAACCAGUGAGAAAACAUCCUCUCACUCCAAACGUUUGGGGAACUGGGGUCGUGGAGAGGCAGGUAAGAAGAAGAGUAUUUAAUAGUGUUUUUUCCUCCUUUACAUACUUUGGACCGUCUUUCUUCCGUUGAUAUACUUAGAACAGUUAGUACUGUAAUUUGACAUGAAUAAUAGCAUUGUACUCUUUAUAGAGCUUAUAUUAGUCCUUUUUGGUCCGACA